CGGCCAGUCACACUAUGGAAGUUGACCAUGCCGGAAGUCGUCAUCUUAACCGCAAGGAGGAUGGUGCUGAAGACAUGACUAGUGACUAUAGUGAAGCCGUAACAAG
rnacentral:ncRNA from 1 species